UCCCUAAGGUGGCAGGAGCCCUUUUUCCAGGGGCAGAACCACAUGACGUUUCAUAAUCCGCGGCAGUUCUCAGUUUAACCGUGCCCACCCCGAUCCGGAGGCGGAUGCAGCACGCAUACAAAGGGCGACUCCGCAGCAUCAGGCCGCCAGGUCGAGCUGGGCACCGGCUUCCCCGCCACGCCCUGUCCGGGCCAGGACACCCGGACACCCGGCGCAGCUCCGGGAGAUCAGAGGAAUUUGGAGAAGCGAAUUCAGUGAACGGGAAAGCUGUAUCUGAGGGAAGUCAGCCGAAGCACUCUUAUGCAUGAAAUCUCCAGCCCACUUGGAAAAGGAA